rnacentral:rRNA from 1 species
GAGGAAUAUUGCGCAAUGGGCGAAAGCCUGACGCAGCAACGCCGCGUGAGGGACGAAGGCCUUCGGGUCGUAAACCUCUUUUCUGGGGAAAGAGCAAGGACGGUACCUCAGGAAUAAGUCUCGGCUAACUACGUGCCAGCAGCCGCGGUAAAACGUAGGAGGCGAGCGUUAUCCGGAUUUACUGGGCGUAAAGCGCGCGCAGGCGGUUUCGUGAGUCGGACAUGAAAGCUCCUGGCGUAACUGGGAGAGGCUGUUCGAUACUGCGGGACUUGAGGUUGGGAGAGGGGUGUGGAAUUCCCGGUGUAGUGGUGGAAUGCGUAGAUAUCGGGAGGAACACCUGUGGCGAAAGCGGCACCCUGGCCCACACCUGACGCUGAGGUGCGAAAGCGUGGGGAGCAAAC